CUUUAUUUCCCUGAUUUUCCAGAAUCUUUUUAAGAUUACUUGAGAUUUUAUUAAGCUGGAAAUCCAAGAAUUUCGCAAAAAAAUAAAUAAAAAUUCUUAGAUAUGUGAAGAUCUCGUUGUUAUCAAUCCCAAACUCUGAUUGUAGCUGAUUGAAUGUCUUAAUUUCCUUUCUCUCAAUAAUUCCCUUCUGUGACCAUCCGCUAAUAUUCAGAUCUUCAAUAU